GUCCAGCUGAAAGGGCUUCUACAGGACUUCUACUGCAACCUUGGCCCCAUUUUACAGAUGCGGAAACAGGCGCAGAAGAGGGAAAGGCCACCCGCUCCGGGGCACAAGGGCAGAAAGUGGCCGACUUGGACGGGAACCCCACAGCCAGAGCUCCCUUCUCCUCUGCAGCACCUGAACGCUGAAUGGAGAGGCAGCUAUGCCGGGCCCCGACGGGAAGCUGCCAGAGAAGUCGGUGGUGCGCAACCGUGGGGAAGGCUUCUCUAAUCUGCCCUCAAAUGAGCUUCCAGAGAGGACAUGUCUGCGGGUUGGCAUGGCUGCCUGGGGAUGGCUUGGAUGGGGAAGAGGAAGGCAAGUAAAGGAGGUAGUAUGGUCAAUCACUCAUCACCUUUAAACAAGCCCUAAAUCAUGCAAAGCACCAGCAUAGGUGCCAGCCGUGUGUGUCUGUCUGUCUGUGUCUGUGUGUCCGUGUGUCCGUGUGGUGGGUUAUAGCAGACAGAAAAGAGAACCAGAGAGGACACAAAGGAAAAUAAGAUAGAGCUUGUUUACUCAGAGAGUAAACAGAUGUCUUUUUAAGUAUAUACUAUGCUGGGUACUGAGGGUACAAAAGUGAACAACCAAGAUCUUACUCAAAUAACUGUAUUAUAGCUUGAAGGUUGAUCACUGCCAAAGACAGCCCCAAAACACAGCCACUUAGAGGAAAGAGCGAGCGCUUCUCAUUGUGGAGAGCAGAGAAGGCUUCUGGAAGAGGUGUCAUUUGCCUGAGGCCCUGAAGGGUGGAUCAGAUUUGGACCAAGGGAGACUGAGGAGAGAAUUUUGGUGGAGGGAACAGCUUGUACAGAACAUGAAGUUGGGGGAGGUUGGGGGGCCUGAGUAGGAACAGUGGGCAGUGCAGGGUUUUUUUUGUUUUUGUUUUUUUUCCAUUCUGGGGAUGUGUAAGAGAAAGGGACAGGAAAGUGCAGCCAGAAUGCAAAAGGUCUGAAAGAUUUCCUUCAGUGGCGGAGGAAGCACACGACCAAGUGUCAGGAGACUAGGCUCUGGUCCCUCCUCUUAAGCUGGAAGCCGGGGAGUCAUUCUUGCUUCCUCCUCAGCCACCGUCUUCCAAUCCAAAAGCAAACACCGUUCAUUCCGCUUCCAAUAUUAAGUCUACUGGCUGCUCCAUUUCUACCAUUAACAUGCUAUCCACAUGCUCAUAAUUUCUGCCUGAUCCUGGCAAUACCCCCUGGCUGCAGAGCCAGUGCACACUGAGGGGAGGGAGUAACACGUC
rnacentral:lncRNA from 1 species